rnacentral:rRNA from 1 species
AGAGUUUGAUCCUGGCUCAGGACGAACGCUGGCGGCGUGCCUAAUACAUGCAAGUCGAGCGGUCCCUUCGGGGAUAGCGGCGGACGGGUGAGUAACACGUAGGCAACCUGCCUGUAAGACUGGGAUAACUACCGGAAACGGUAGCUAAGACCGGAUAGGUGAUUUUCUCGCAUGAGAGGAUCAAGAAACAUGGGGCAACC